rnacentral:rRNA from 1 species
UACGUAGGGGCUAGCGUUAUCCGGAAUUACUGGGCGUAAAGGGUGCGUAGGUGGUUUCUUAAGUCAGAGGUGAAAGGCUACGGCUCAACCGUAGUAAGCCUUUGAAACUGGGAAACUUGAGUGCAGGAGAGGAGAGUGGAAUUCCUAGUGUAGCGGUGAAAUGCGUAGAUAUUAGGAGGAACACCAGUUGCGAAGGCGGCUCUCUGGACUGUAACUGACACUGAGGCACGAAAGCGUGGGGAGCAAACAGGAUUAGAUACCCCUGCAGUCCCUGAG